rnacentral:SRP_RNA from 1 species
UUGUGUUUAAAUACAGAUUUUAUCUGUUUGUUCUUUUUAAGGUCGGGUUAUAGGAUUAGGUCUUUCGCGAUGAGGUCUUGCGAACCCCGUCAGGUCCGGAAGGAAGCAGCGGUAAACAAAUCGCCUUAUGCGCCGAAAGGUUGCCGAAUCCCAUAGCCCGACGUUAAAAAGGAAACGCAG